AUUGAACGCUGGCGGCAGGCUUAACACAUGCAAGUCGAGCGGAGCGAGGGUGCUUGCACCUUAGCUUAGCGGCGGACGGGUGAGUAAUGCUUAGGAAUCUGCCUAUUAGUGGGGGACAACAUUCCGAAAGGGAUGCUAAUACCGAAUACGCCCUACGGGGGAAAGCAGGGGAUCUUCGGACAUUGCACUAAUAGAUGAGCCUAAGUCGGAUUAGCUAGUUGGUGGGGUAAAGGCCUACCAAGGCGACGAGCUGUAGCGGGUCCGAGAGGAUGAUCCGCCACACUGGGACUGAGACACGGCCCAGACUCCUACGGGAGGCAGCAGUGGGGAAUAUUGGACAAUGGGGGAACCCUGAUCCAGCCAUGCCGCGUGUGUGAAGAAGGCCUUUUGGUUGUAAAGCACUUUAAGCGAGGAGGAGGCGCUCUAGGAUAAUACCCUAGAUGCGUGGACGUUACUCGCAGAAUAAGCACCGGCUAACUCUGUGCCAGCAGCCGCCGUAAUAC
rnacentral:rRNA from 1 species